ensembl:lncRNA
CAUAAGUCAGAGAUCAGGAGAUUUUCGGAGAAAGCUGUUGGUGUACCAAGAGAUCUGACCUUGCUCCCAAGAUAGUAAACUAAGGGAUGUUUCCCCCAUGCCUACAAAUCAAAACAGAGGGACUUUAAAGAGACAACUUAAAGAGUUUGAUGUUUGGCUUCUUAGAGAUGGGGAUAUAUAGAAUGACUCCCACCUGAAAAAUCUAACAAGAACUAUCAGCUGCUAAUGGGUUUGAUAGAAAAGUUAAAAUGAGGCACCUGGUAGGGGCAGCCUAUGUCCCCAGAGUCUGUGGAACAAAGGAUAUGUGAUUAUUUCCUGUGGACCAGAUGGAGAUCAUGCACAGGACUAGCACAGGUCUUCUUAGAUCUUGUCCAAGAGAGCCACGUGAAGAAGCAGAAAAGACCUCGGCAGGAAGAAGACAGCACGCUUCGGAACUCCUAAGGGAUGAGGGAGCUUUCCUAAAUCUCCAUUCAGAGAGAAAUGCCCAUGCCCAUGGAGCAGUGCCUUUUCUCUUUGCGGGGAUCAAAAGCCAAGUUAGCAGCACGGGAGAGGAUGAGCAGAAGCCCUAGGCUGGAAAGAACACACAGACGAUGAUCUGUAAUGUUCACACAUGGAGUGUUCUCAUGUUGCCACAAGCUGGCAAACAUUCAUUAUUAUCAACUCACAAACUGAGCACUCCUAAGAACUUCUCUGAGUGGGGAUUAUAGAUAAUUUAAUUUUUAAUCAUCACAUAAACGGGUCAAGGGUCUUCAUUACUGAAAUGCAUUUUGAAAUUGUUUUUUAAUUAACAUAAUUACAAUAUAAACAGCGAGAAUAAAUUCAUUAAAAUUAAACAAUUCAAUGAAAUUUUUUUCUCUAAACAUACUCUCUGAUGUUGCAGUCUUUUAUUAGACAUACUUUUUAAGGCUUCUCUCUCACUUCCCCUACCGUCCUCACACACUCCUGCUGUGAACCCCAUCCCCACCCCCACUCUCUCCAAAGAGGGGAAAAUCUAAGUUAUAUUCCUGGACACAGAUCAGACCGUAUUUGCUAGUGGGCAGAGCCACCAUGCAUAAAAUGGUCAGCAUAUGAGUGUGCUUUCUCUCUCCUUUCUCUUGCAUAUGAUGCUGAAGUGAUAAGCUGACCAUAUCCUGGUCAUGUGCUCUCUUAGGAUGAUAAAGUGAUUUCGGAAGUAGGGGGGGAAGGAUUGGGAGUUUGGGGUCAGUGGAGGCAAGCUAGUAUGUAUAUGAUGGAAAAACAACAAGGUCCUACUCUAUACCACAGGGAAUGAUAUUCAAUAUCCUGUGUUACAGGGAACUAUAUGCAAACUCUUGGGAUAGAACUUGAAGGAAUAUAAGUACUAUAUAUAUACAUGUACAGUAUACACUGGCACAACACUAUAAAUCAACUAUACUUCGACAAAGUUUUAAAAAUAAAAAUAUUAAAAUUUUAAAAAUUUUAAACAGAAUUAACUGUAAAAUGAUUGCCAGGAAAUCUUACAGGGGGAGAAAGAAGAUUGUAGAAAAUUACUACACUAUCAUCACAUCUUGUUUCUAUUCCACCCUUUUUUUAAAAAGCAUCAUAGGUUUUAUUUUGUAACCAAUAACUAUAUCAUGCAUAUUUCAAAGUUCUAAUUCUGCUAAUUGUUGUUUCUGGUGACCCUGACUCUAGGUGAGUUUUUUCCAUGCAUGUUUUGUACAUUUCAAUUACGAGCUCAUGUUUAGUGCAGCCUCUAAUUUCCAAGCUAACUAACUACAUAAAAGGAGCAUUCCCAUGAUUUACUGGUUUAACAAGUAUGAACUAAAAUGCCAGUUGGACCUCUCAUAGUCUCCACCGUCACAGCUCCAGAGUCACAGCUCCCCGUGCUGGUUGGGGAAAACAGUCAAGGUCCUAGUCAGAAUGAUAACAGCUAAUGCUUACUGGAAACUCAUCAGGAGCGUUUGACGCACAUUACGUAAUCUUCAAACUACCCUGAGGGAGGUACUAUUGUUAGCCCCAUUUCACAGAUGAGAAAGCCGACACGUAUAGAGAUUGACAACGUGCCCAUGAUCACUCUGCCAGUAAAUUGUAGAACCAGAAUUUAAAAUCAUGUCAUCCUUAGACCCCACCACCCAAACUCUUAUCCAUUAGGCUGCAUUGCAGUCACAACGAAAAUGUCAAAGCACUCAGGCUCAGGCAUGAAGCAACAGUAACAACACAAGGCCAACAAGGAAAGGGACUAGACUGAGAUCCUGAGGUCCCUCGUGCACUUGGAUAUAAAAUGCAAGUAGAUAGAUAAGCUGCUGCAGAAACCCACCUCUGGAAAGAUACAGCCAAGGUCCCGUCUGAAGCAGCAUUUAACUCUAAGUUACACAAAACAGAGGCCAAGGCAGCUGCUUCCUCCACCCCCACUGGAACAGGCUGGGGAGCUAGAACAGUCCUGGGCUUUCUGGAGUCCAGCUGCAGGAAGUUAAGGGAGAAAGUAAAGUCAGAGAAUCUGGGGUGGGGCAGACGGGAAAGCUCAGAAGCCAGUAUGGUUACACUGAGUUUACCCAUAUGCUGAAGCCCACCACGUAGUGCACGCUCUUCAUAGGAUGAGGAAAUAAGUAUUUUCACAGAGUGCCGUGGUAUUUGAAAAUGCCACGGCAUAGGUCUGGAGAACACAGCUCUGCAAAGUGUAUACUUUCUGGAUUUUACCCAGAAGACAAGCUCAGAAGAAGGUCUGUCGAGCUGCAAGCAUGAGAAGCUAAAGGUGGUUUGGCAAUUGAGCACCUGAGUGGUCCUUUUAAGUUGUUAAGUAGAUAGAUGAUCCGAACCAACAAAUGCAAAGGACACUUGUGCCCACUUACUAGCAGAUGCAACCUCUUCUAAAGAAAAGAUAUUUUCAAAAACUCAGACUAAAGAAGAGAGAGUAAAAUUCUUUCAUCUGAACUGAAUGUUAUUCAGACUUGAAAAUCUCAUGUUAACUGUCAAUACCACUCUGUGCCAUCUAUAAAAGUCCUCCCUAGAACAAUUAAGAGAAAAAAAAAAAACUGUACACAUUUUUUCCUAAUAACCCAUGUUCUUAUUUCCAUAUUAUGGAAAUAAGCAUUAUGUAAUUUUUUUUUGUCUUUUUUUUUUUUUUUUUUUGCUAUUUCUUGGGCCGCUGCCAUGGCAUAUGGAGGUUCCCAGGCUAGGGGUCGAAUCGGAGCUGUAGCCCCCAGCCUACACGAGAGCCACAGCAACAUGGGAUCCGAGCCGCGUCUGCGACCUACACCACAGCUCACGGCAAUGCUGGAUCAUUAACCCACUGAGUGAGGCCAGGGACCGAACCCGCAACCUCAUGGUUCCUAGUCGGAUUCGUUAACCACUGCGCCACGAUGGGAACUCCGCAUUAUGUAAUUAUUAAACUAUCAGAGUAUUGCCUGAGGCUGAUUAACCUCAGGAGAACACCAGACAAGGUGCUAAUGAAGCCAUGGC